rnacentral:misc_RNA from 1 species
GGUACUAGGGUUUCCCUACCGUUUUUUUUUCACAAAUCGCGGCUGCCAGGUUCAUUUGUUUGUAGUGUUACAAGGUUCAGUUACACAAAUUAUACAGGAAUUAAUUAUUCAAGGACCUUUUAUUUGCAAUGGAUUCACCUGAACGUAGUCGGAGCUAUGUGAAGCGAGACACCGAGGAUAGCUCAGAUGUGAAGAGUGAUAGGGCAGGGGAUGAUGAGGAAUGGGAUGGCAGUGAUAAGAGGAGGCAUCGGUCCAGCAAGUCCAGGAAGUCGAGCAAUGGAGAAGAUGCUGAGGGAUUAGAUGGCAAUGGGAGAAGAAGAAGUUCUGGUGGGGACAGGAACGAGGGUCGUAAGAGGUCAGGUGGUGGCUCUAGCAGAGCAGGUAGUGACGAUGAUGAUUAUGAAACAAGAAAAGAGUUGCGAUUAAAGCAAAUAAAGAAGAAACAAGAAGAAAGUAGCUUGGAAAAGCUGAGCAGUUGGUACCAGGAUGGAGAAUUAGAGAACAGACAGGUUGCAGAAAAGUCUGGAAGUAAAGGGCACAGUCGUGCUGAUGAGAGUGAGAAAAGGAAAAUGACAUCGAAGAUCUCAGAACAUGAGAGUUCACGUGGUGGAAGCAAAAGUAAAGAAGAAAGAUCCCAUGAUGGAGAGCAUGAGAAGUUACAAGAUAGAGAUUCCAGGUACUCAGAUAGGANCAGCCGAGAGAAGGCUCAUGGUUCCACUGAGCUGGGAAGAACUUCUAGGAGGAGGUGGGAUGAAUCAGAUGCUGGAAAGAAAGGCGAAGAAAGUUAUCAUGAAAAGGCUGAUCUCAGAAGUGGAAAGGCUUCUGAUUCCAAAUAUGAGAAUUCUAAAGAGAGAAGUGCAUCUGCAAGAAAUGAACCCAGUGAUAGUAAAAGCAGAGGUUUUGAUUCAAACAACGAGAAGGGUGUCAAAGCCAACAAUAGAGAAGAAAGAAGAGCUGAUGGGGAGAGGAGCAAGAGCAAAAGCAGGUCAGGAGCUGUAGAAGAGGACGAUAAAGGUAGUCCUAUUACUCGUGAAGA